rnacentral:rRNA from 1 species
GAUGAACGCUGGCGGCGUGCCUAAUACAUGCAAGUCGAGCGAACGGACGAGAAGCUUGCUUCUCUGAUGUUAGCGGCGGACGGGUGAGUAACACGUGGAUAACCUACCUAUAAGACUGGGAUAACUUCGGGAAACCGUAGCUAAUACCGGAUAAUAUUUUGAACCGCAUGGUUCAAAAGUGAAAGACGGUCUUGCUGUCACUUAUAGAUGGAUCCGCGCUGCAUUAGCUAGUUGGUAAGGUAACGGCUUGCCAAGGCAACGAUGCAUAGCCGACCUGAGAGGGGGAUCGGCCACACUGGAACUGAGACACGGUCCAGGCUCCUACGGGAGGCAGCAGUAGGGAAUCUUCCGCAAUGGGCGAAAGCCUGACGGAGCAACGCCGAGUGAGUGAUGAAGGUCUUCGGAUCGUAAAACUCUGUUAUUAGGGAAGAACAUAUGUGUAAGUAACUGUGCACAUCUUGACGGUACCUAAUCAGAAAGCCACGGCUAACUACGUG